AUUGCAUGCAUCGUUACAGGUUGGGGGAUGAGCUGCUGGAGGAAUGGCUAUGUGACAAAGGGCACGUAAACAUGGUACAGCUCGCUGAUCACGAGUUUGAGAAUUACAGAACUCAGCUUGUCUGAAUUGUUAACAUCUCAAGGACACACGACAUGGUGGAUACAAAGAAACAGAAGCAAUAUCUAAAGGAAUGAAGAACAGGCAUAAGGUGGGAGGGAUUGGCAUUCAGCUUCAAGCACCAAUGAUGAGCUCGCUUUUGCACUAUGUGUGAGGAUUAUUAAGACAUGUAUAAAAGAGAAUCUUUGGUAAUCAAGAAACGAGACUUGUUGAUCACUCAUAUUGAGUGCCAGGUUCUCCUUGUUACCACAAAUUGUCAAAAAGGCAAGAAUGUUUGUCCAGAGUUAAUAAGCUUAGCUUGCGAAAACACAAACCUGCCUUACUGGAAGCUUGCGCAAACAGGGAACUCGCACAAAUACGGUCAAAGGUUAGCGAUUGUGUAAUCGACCAAUAGGAUUCGCUUAUAUGAGCAACAUACCAUAAAUGGGAACCCCCAGAAGGGGUCAAGAAAAGGAUACGGAGGAAGACUACUUACUUCAACCCAUACGACCACCGGGAGGCAGAAGAAGACCCCCUAGCAACAGCCGGAUCAUGCGCAGAGUACACCACAAUGGGAAAAUGGAAGGACACGAACUGCAUAAAAGGAUCGGGUACUGGUUCAAACCUUGCGACAGUUGGUGGAACGCAGAGUCCCCUGUCGCCCAGCGCUGCAUUGCCUCUUUGUUCUUUGCUCAUUAUAAUUAAUAAAUUCAAUAAUUGACUCCUUAACUUUUGGUCCAUCAUUCUACCUAUUACAAUUGGUGCCGUGACUCGGAUAGGAAUAGUGGCUGGGUUCUGAGGGUUGGGGAGGCGCCCCACCAGAAUUGGCGGCCCCACCCUUGACUCCCUGCCUUACUCCUACCGACGAUCCGAAAUUUAAGAGCAAAAAGGCAAGAAAGGAUCGGUCGACCCCUUAAAUUUUGUGCACAAAGGUCUGGACGAAGACGCAGGACGCGGACUUCUGCGAAGACAAUAGAGUAAAACAGUUGAACAGAAGAAACCCAUAUAAUCCCUCUGGUGAAGAAACCUCAGCCCAUCUGAAGAAGCUAAAUGGUUGGGGCAUGGUUUGAACACCUGCUUUUUGCUGUACAGUGCUCAAUAGGGUUUGUAAUAGCAUUAAUCUUGUCACUAAUUUUGUAUUUUUUUGUGGAAAGUCGUUAAAUGUGGAAAAGGGGUUUGUGUUUAUGGAUAGAGAAGAAUGAAAAUUAUUUUUAGGACUUUGAAAGACGAAUUUGUUAAAUACUUUAAUAGAAUAUUAAGUGAGGUCAGCCUACCAAGUCUGCCCUGAAUACAACGGGUAUACAGCUGUAAGGGUUGGCCGAUUGUUGAAAAGGCUCCGGAACCAAACUCCUGAGACACUCUGUGGAUAAGUGCCUGGAUUGCCCCAAGGGGUUCAAUAGUGAAUAUAACAGACUGUGAUGGGGAAAAGUUCACCUUCGAGUAGGUCUUCUGCUGCCGAGAAGAUAAAAACCCCUGUAACUGGCUGCAACCCAGUUGACAGGCGAGGCAGAGAUGGACCUCGGGUGAAGGGACGAUACUUGGCCCCGAAGACUAUCAUUUUGGUCUGUGCAUCUAUUUUACUCCCGGGGGUACGGGCCAAUAAUCCACACGAGCCUAUGAUAUGGGAAUUAUUCAACAUGCAACAACCUGACCAACCCUUGAAAAGCUGUAAAAAUCAAACCCACGUAAAUUUUACCGUUUCUUUAAGAAAGUUAAUUACGGGACACCGCAGAGAUAGGGCAGAUAACUGUAUGGGAUUUUAUGUUUGUCCCGCUUCAAACAGAGGGAGAAAUUAUUGUAACUUGCCAAAUCAUUACUACUGUGGUUACUGGGGAUGUGAGACAUGGUCAUCUGAAUGGCCCACAGAUAUUAAAGACCCAGAUAUACAGGUGGAAUGGUUCCCUCCUGGUUGCAAACGACCCACCAUAGGAAGAGAUGGGCACGUUUACGGACAUUGUGAGGAUGGUGGAUACUGUAAGGAAAUUAAUAUAAAGGUUCAAGAGCCUACGAAAGAUGGUUGGUUAGUUGGAAGAAUGUGGGGAAUUAGAUUUUGGGAACCAGGUCCAGACAGGGGUGGUAUAUUUAGAAUAGCAAAGAGAAGUAUGCCACAUGAUUCCCCAUUGUCUAUAGGCCCAAAUAUAGUAUAAGGCACCACCACCUACACUCAGUGAUCCACUAUGGGGCAUUAUGCAAGCCGCAUAUGCUGCCCUGAAUAAAACGCAACCAAACUUAACUAACGAGUGUUGGUUGUGCUAUAGUGCUAGACCACCUUAUUACGAGGCAGUUGGAGAACCAAGCAAGGUCACGUGGAAUAAUGGAACAAAUCCUGCUGCAUGCCCAUGGGAUAGUAAUCACACCCAGGGGUUAACUAUACAACAUGUCACAGGGAAAGGAAAGUGUGUUGGAACCAUACCAGAACAAUAUAAAAGUCUUUGUAACAGCACAAUAUCUUAAGGUAGAAUAAAGAACAAGGCAAACGCAAAAUUUAAAUGGCUAAUCCCCACAGCAGGUGCAAAGUGGGUAUGUUCAGAUAUCGGAAUGACACCAUGUAUAUCAUUAGAGGUAUUUAAUAGAUCUGAAUUUUGUAUACAAGUAGUAAUUAUCCCGCGAUUAAUGUAUCACUCUGAUGAAGAGGUUAUGUAUCAGCUUGAAGGGAGCCUCAUCAGACAGAAAAGAGAGCCUAUAACAGCAAUUACUUUAGCAACCCUCUUGAUUGCCGGAAGUGUGGGUGCCGGAACCGGCAUAGCCUCACUCGUCAAAAGUAACGAGAUACAAAGUUUACAACAAGCUGUAGAUGAAGAUCUAGACAGAAUAGAACAGUCAAUUGAUAAAUUGGCAACUUCGGUCAAAUCAUUAUCAGGGGUGGUAUUACAAAAUCGAAGAGGAUUAGACCUCCUAUUCCUAAAGGAAGGGGGACUAUGCGUAGCACUACAAGAAGAAUGUUGUUCAUUCGUUGAUCAUACCGGGAUAGUUAAGGAUUCCAUGGCUGAACUUCGUAAGAGAUUGGAACAACGAAAAAGGGAUAGGGAAAUAGGAAGAUCCUGGUAUGAGGGUUGGUUUAACAUAUCACCAUGGCUCACUACUUUACUGUCUGCUCUGGCUGGACCCUUGAUCACGAUUAUUCUGGGGCUAAUAUUUGGACCAUGUAUAAUUAAAUGAUUAUUACAACUGAUAAAGAAGCGAUUUGACACCACGAAAUUGCUAAUCUUAAUGCAAAUGACUCCGCAGAGGGAAAUAGAGAAAUUGUAAAUAGAAAAAGUGUGAUAUUCCAUCCCAUGAUCACAAUUAUGAAAGGAGAAUUGUAACUAUGAAAAUUGGAGGACAAACAUUCAACGAUAAAAGAAAAGGGGGGAAAUUGUCAAAAAGGCAAGAAUGUUUGUCCAGAGUUAAUAAGCUUAGCUUGCGAAAACACAAACCUGCCUUACUGGAAGCUUGCGCAAACAGGGAACUCGCACAAAUACGGUCAAAGGUUAGCGAUUGUGUAAUCGACCAAUAGGAUUCGCUUAUAUGAGCAACAUACCAUAAAUGGGAACCCCCAGAAGGGGUCAAGAAAAGGAUACGGAGGAAGACUACUUACUUCAACCCAUACGACCACCGGGAGGCAGAAGAAGACCCCCUAGCAACAGCCGGAUCAUGCGCAGAGUACACCACAAUGGGAAAAUGGAAGGACACGAACUGCAUAAAAGGAUCGGGUACUGGUUCAAACCUUGCGACAGUUGGUGGAACGCAGAGUCCCCUGUCGCCCAGCGCUGCAUUGCCUCUUUGUUCUUUGCUCAUUAUAAUUAAUAAAUUCAAUAAUUGACUCCUUAA